rnacentral:rRNA from 1 species
GACGAACGCUGGCGGCGUGCUUAACACAUGCAAGUCGAACGGAAAGGCCCUGCUUUUGUGGGGUGCUCGAGUGGCGAACGGGUGAGUAACACGUGAGUAACCUGCCCUUGACUUUGGGAUAACUUCAGGAAACUGGGGCUAAUACCGGAUAGGAGCUCCUGCUGCAUGGUGGGGGUUGGAAAGUUUCGGCUGUUGGGGAUGGACUCGCGGCUUAUCAGCUUGUUGGUGGGGUAGUGGCUUACAAAGGGUUUGACGGGUAGCCGGCCUGGGAGGGUGACCGGCCACAUUGGGACUGAGAUACGGACCAGACUGCAACGGGAGGCAGCAGGGGGGAAUAUUGCACAAUGGGCGGAAGCCUGAUGCAGAAACGCCGCGUGCGGGAUGACGGCCUUCGGGUUGUAAACCGCUUUCGCCUGUGACGAAGCGUGAGUGACGGUAAUGGGUAAAGAAGCACCGGCUAACUACGUG